AGGGCACCACCAGGAGUGGAGCCUGCGGCUUAAUUUGACUCAACACGGGAAAACUCACCCGGCCCGGACACCGUAAGGAUUGACAGACUGAGAGCUCUUUCUUAAUUCGGUGGGUGGUGGUGCAUGGCCGUUCUUAGUUGGUGGAGCGAUUUGUCUGGUUAAUUCCGAUAACGAACGAGACUCUGGCCUACUAAAUAGACGGUAUAUCUGAAAGUAUACCGCGCUUCUUAGAGGGACAAGCGGCGUCUAGCCGCAUGAAAUAGAGCAAUAACAGGUCUGUGAUGCCCUUAGAUGUCCGGGGCUGCACGCGCGCUACACUGAAAGAAUCAGUAUGCGCCGUCGCCUAGUUCGGAAGAACCGGGUAACCCGAGCAAAUUCUUUCGUGCUUGGGAUAGGGAAUUGCAAUUAUUUCCCUUAAACGAGGAAUUCCCAGUAAACGCGGGUCAUAAGCUCGCGUUGAUUACGUCCCUGCCCUUUGUACACACCGCCCGUCGCUACUACCGAUUGGAUGACUUAGUG
rnacentral:rRNA from 1 species